UACGAAGGGGGCUAGCGUUGUUCGGAAUCACUGGGCGUAAAGCGCACGUAGGCGGAUUGUUAAGUCGGGGGUGAAAUCCUGAGGCUCAACCUCAGAACUGCCUUCGAUACUGGCGAUCUUGAGGCCGGAAGAGGAUGGUGGAACAGCGAGUGUAGAGGUGAAAUUCGUAGAUAUUCGCUAGAACACCGGUGGCGAAGGCGGCCAUCUGGUCCGGUACUGACGCUGAGGUGCGAAAGCGUGGGGAGCAAACAGG
rnacentral:rRNA from 1 species